AGCGAACGCUGGCGGCAGGCCUAACACAUGCAAGUCGAACGAACCCUUCGGGGUUAGUGGCCGACGGGUGAGUAACACGUGGGAACGUGCCUUUAGGUUCGGAAUAACUCAGGGAAACUUGUGCUCAUACCGAAUGUGCCCCUCGGGGGAAAGAUUUAUCGCCUUUAGAGCGGCCCGCGUCUGAUUAGCUAGUUGGUUGAGGUAAUGGCUCACCAAGGCGACGAUCAGUAGCUGGUUUGAGAGGAUGAUCAGCCACAUUGGGACUGAGACACGGCCCAAACUCCUACGGGAGGCAGCAGAGGGGAAUCUUGCGCAAUGGGCGAAAGCCUGACGCAGCCAUGCUGCGUGAAUGAUGAAGGUCUUAGGAUUGUAAAAUUCUUUCACCGGGGACGAUAAUGACGGUACCCGGAGAAGAAGCCCCGGCUAACUUCGUG
rnacentral:rRNA from 1 species